UUUGAUCUUACUCAGGACGAACGCUGGCGGCGUGCCUAAUACAUGCAAGUCGAACGAACGGAGGAAGAGCUUGCUCUUCCAAAGUUAGUGGCGGACGGGUGAGUAACACGUGGGCAACCUGCCUGUAAGUUGGGGAUAACUCCGGGAAACCGGGGCUAAUACCGAAUGAUAAAGUGUGGCGCAUGCCACGCUUUUGAAAGACGGUUUCGGCUAUCGCUUACAGAUGGGCCCGCGGUGCAUUAGCUAGUUGGUAGGGUAAUGGCCUACCAAGGCAACGAUGCAUAGCCGACCUGAGAGGGUGAUCGGCCACACUGGGACUGAGACACGGCCCAGACUCCUACGGGAGGCAGCAGUAGGGAAUCUUCCGCAAUGGACGAAAGUCUGACGGAGCAACGCCGCGUGUAUGAAGAAGGUUUUCGGAUCGUAAAGUACUGUUGUUAAAAAAGAACAAGGAUAAGAGUAACUGCUUGUCCCUUGACGGUAUCUAACCAGAAAGCCACGGCUAACUAC
rnacentral:rRNA from 1 species